rnacentral:rRNA from 1 species
UACGUAGGGUGCGAGCGUUUAAUCGGAAUUACUGGGCGUAAAGAGUGCGUAGGCGGUUCGUUAAGUCAGCUGUGAAAGCCCCGGGCUCAACCUGGGAACUGCGGUUGAAACUGGCGAACUAGAAUCUGGCAGAGGGGGGUGGAAUUCCACGUGUAGCAGUGAAAUGCGUAGAGAUGUGGAGGAACACCGAUGGCGAAGGCAGCCCCCUGGGCUGAGAUUGACGCUCAGGCACGAAGCGUGGGGAGCAAACAGG